GUCCUAUUCCAGGAGGUCACCUACUGUGAACAGGAGGCAUCAGGAGCAUCUGAGUAGAGACAAUGUUUGAGAGAACUCUGGGGGCUCCUGAACCUUUGUCCUGUGUCUGUAUCCACGACUGCUACUUCAGCUCUGCACCCCCAGGCUGUCUGGCGCAAGUUUCACUUCCUGUUCACAAUCUCUGCGGCCAAGGAGAGUUGGCAGUAAAUCUUAAAUUCACCAUGAGCCCGAAUUGCAGAGAUCAGAUCUCUCUUUCUGGCUCUCCACACUGGACAGAUUGCAUCUGCACAAUGGCCUAAGAAAACUCUGGAGGAAACUCUGUGAGCUCACUAAACCUCAAGAGUAAGAAUUCCCCAUUUGGUCAAUUCCUGGUACUUACAUUUACAUUAUCCUAUCCCAAUGGAAUCUGUUAAGCCAAAGUUUUGCAAAUUCUGCAAAGAUAUAGGACCUUCACAAUUUUGAUCCAGUACCAAAGACAUGAUACAAUAUGUACUGAACCAAUCAAUAAAUGGAUACAGA
rnacentral:lncRNA from 1 species